CUGAUCUUCGCGCCUGCGCAGUCCGCACAACCCAAAAGUUGACGGCAACUUACCAACAUGUCGGUGCGAAUACACGAGUCGAGCUGAGGCGGCGCGUUGUACUCAAUGCCGGAUUUCACCUGUUUCUCCACGAAGCUGCGAUCCACUCGAGGAAUUUGGACACCUUCGUGUAAACUCCGGGGUGGUUUGGCUCGGCGCAGCCAUUCCCCCAGCUGACGACCCCCAUCAGCCUCCAUACGUUGUCAUCCUGGCACACCAAAGGCCCACCGCUAUCUCCCUGGGUGGACGGCGUUGGAUACACGUCAUCCUCGACCGACUGAUCCAGUCCACACAGUCUUGAAAACAUCAAAACAAGGUCGUGGAAAGACACUAAAAAGCUGCGAUCCCUCAUUCCACAAGGGGCAACUCUCUAAGAGAUCUCUAAAUUCAAGAGUUUUUCCUCCAGAUGAAAGCGCUCCCGGAGAAAUUCUGUCAGCAAAGCACUACCAAAUGUCAAUCCGCCAACCAGGUGCAUGCUCAGUGACCUGGUUACGGACCUACUGCAACUUCACUACGUCCUCGAGCAGAACCGCGGCGCCAUCUCAUCUCGCCGGCCCGCGGACACACGCAUGUCCGUGGGUGACGCGGCACAUCGCUAAACAUCCUACAGGAAGCCCAACUGGCACUGUCCCGAAAUGUCAGCGGCGGGUCAGGAGGUUGGGGCCCUGGUGCAUCCUGGGAUGACGAUUGUCUGUCUUGCAUUGACAAUUACGAGCGCCGUCAUUGUAUCACUAAUUCAUAACUUUGAGUGUGCAAAGAUUACGGGAACUGAAGAACUCGUCAGUCAGUACAAUCAAAACAGAGCAGCGUAAAGCUUGAAAGUGGGGCUGCCCGAAUGAUUAUUUUAAUAAUCGACCAUAACACUGUUCCAGUUAUAUUUUGAUGAAUUUG